GGCCUCGAGAAUAAAUAGUGAAAAUGGAGAAGUAGAAAGUAAGAAGUGAGAGUUUGAGUAGAAAAAAGUGGAGAAAACUCUGACUUUCUUUGAGAAAUUUAGCAGAGUUUUGUCUCUAUUCACUCAGACUCGACUUACCUUCUAGAGAGCACUUUGUCCUCUUUUAUAUAGAGAGAGCUUACUUAGGUUUUAAGAAAAAGUUGUUAGGCCGUUAAAGGAUUAUUAGGCUAUUGAAGAUCUAUUAGACCAUUAGGUUGUUGUAACAAAAUGACCAGUUGUGCAAAGAUCAUGGGGCGGCUGCUCACGUGGCAAUGAGUUGGGAUACAGCUAGAAGACGGUUAUCGCUUAGCUAGAUGAC
rnacentral:lncRNA from 1 species